rnacentral:misc_RNA from 1 species
UCUCCGUAGGUGAACCUGCGGAGGUAUCAUUACUGAGUGAGGGUUUAACCGCCCGACCUCCAACCCUUUGUGAACCAACACUGUUGCUUCGGGGGCGACCCUGCCGCUUCGGCGGUGCGGCGCCCCCGGAGGCCAUUAAACACUGCAUCAUUGCGUCGGAGUUAAAGUAAAUUAAACAAAACUUUCAACAACGGAUCUCUUGGUUCCAGCAUCGAUGAAGAACGCAGC